GGAAGGGUGGCUGAGUGGUCGAAAGCGCCCGCCUGCUAAGCGGGUAGGUGGUCUGAAACUGCCUCCCGGGUUCGAAUCCCGGCCCUUCCGCCA
rnacentral:tRNA from 2 species